GGAAUGCGAUAAGUAAUGUGAAUUGCAGAAUUCAGUGAAUCAUCGAAUCUUUGCACGCACCUUACGCUCCUUGGUAUUCCGAGGAGCACGCCUGUUUGAGAGUCAUGAAACCAUCAAACCCAAGUUUUGGAUUUCGAUCCAUGCUUGAGUUUGGAUUUGGAUGUUUGCCGGUGAUGAACCGACUCAUCUUAAAAGUAUUAGCUUGGAUCUGUCUAUAUGACUGGUUUGACUUGGCAUAAUAAGUAUUUUGCUGAGGACAUCUUCGGAUGGCCAGGACCUAGACUACUGUCUGCUAACUGAACCAUCACUUUAAGUGCAUCUUUGGAUGUUUCUCAUUGUGUAACUUUGACAUCUGGCCUCAAAUCAAGUAGGACUACCCGCUGAACUUAA
rnacentral:misc_RNA from 1 species